UUGUUCUACCGCUGCCCCUCAGUGCUAAUGGGGAGCGUAAACCAGGUGCUGAGUAGUGGGACUCGGUGACCCCAGAUUCUUGGGUUCCCCUCCCUGUGGGAGGAAGGCAGCCAGGCCCAGAGUUUGGUGUGUGGCUGCCCAGCUCUGGGUCCCCACACCGCAGACUCCUGGCAACAUGCUGCUCGCCUGUGAGGGACGAUGAUGGCCAUCCGGCAUUAAAGGAGGUGUCCGGCGCUUAGAGAAUGCUCGGGAAAUGCUGGACAGCAGUGCUGGGGAGGCAGCACUGUCCUGACCUUGACCCUGGCCCCCGCCUCUGGGAGGAAGCAUACGGAUCCUCAGGUUCAUCCCGGACCAGCUAGAUGAGCAGGGAGGUUGGUGUGAGUGUAGGUUCUCAGCAGCCUUGUUCACAUUUGCCCCCAUCCGCAGACCCUGGGUGUUCACAAGUACCCAGGCCUGCCUGGGGCUGCUCCUCUGUCCCUGGGGGAUCAAAAUAGCAGCUUGAGGACUGCCCUGUGGCCCCUCCCUGGCACAUCCCUAGCACAUCCCACCCAUGGCUCACCUCGUGGCUGCCUCCCAAGCCCUGGGCCCUGUGCAGAACUGGGCCCCACACCCACCUUAGACUCAGACUAAGGAGUCCCCAGGGUCAGGAAAGCUCACUCCCUCAUCCUGUCCCCCCCCUCCCCAGGGUGGGCUCGGUGACUUGGCAGGACAAAGCUCAGCUUCAUUUAGGGGACAAGCUCUGCUCAGGGCACCGGUUGGGAGGAAGGAGACGGUGCCCUCUAGACGUGCACAAAGGCGAACUCACCCAGGGAGACUUGCACACUCACACACACGUGCGUAUUCCACAGGACCCCCCACACACUCACCAAGGUAGUCACACACAGGGGCACUCUCAGGCCACGCUCCCACCGCAGCUCGGCUCCUGGUGGGGCCACACGUGCACGUGGGUGUGCAGGUGCACUGUGGACCAGUGUGGUGCUGCCCGUGAGUGCCCAGGUCAAGUUCCGGUACACCCGGGAGGAAGCAGGGAGAAGGGAAGGGCAUGAGAUCCUCUGGGUCCUCUGUCUGAGGCAAGAAGGGGAUACAGCAACUGUUCAAGGUCACUCCAGUGGGAUCCAGCCCACCUUGGCCUUGAGCAGCACUCACACCAGAGGCUCCAUCCAUCCAAGGAGCUGAAGAGGCUUGGUCAGAGACCCAGUUCACACCUCCACGGCCCUGCCUCAUACAGGGGUGCAAAGCCCCUCUCUCCCUCCCUCUGCAGCUGUCUGGGGCUGGGGUGACCAGCCCCCCUACUGGGCCUCCAACUGAGACCAGCAAGCCAUUUUGAACCAUGAUGAGAAGAGGAAGUUCCUGUGGCCCCAAAACAGAAACAGGAAGCUGGGAGGGGCUAUAUGGAUAGGGAACGGGAAGGGGACACAGGCACCCAGCAGAUGUACCCAGAACACCCCAGCCUUCCUGGGCCCGACACGCGCAGCCGUGGCUACGUAUCUCUGCCUGACCCCGGCACUGUGGUCCUUGUCUGUGCAUAGCCACAACCCCCCAAGGACAGACUCGCUGAGGGUUUCUCAGAUGCUGGCUAAUUGUCCUCCUGGGUGUGUUCAAUUGUCCCAGCUUAUCUGGUUCUGUUGAGAGGGCUCCAUGCGUCCGCUGGAAACUUCCCAUUCAUCCAGGCAUUGUGUCUGCCCAUGCACCUCUCCCUGGCCCCUGAGGGUUGUCAUAUAGGAAGGACUCCCUACCGGGCUGGCCUGACUCUUCUCCACCCACCAUGUCCGCGUGACCACCCGACCACUCCCCUGAUGGAGCACGCGACGGCCUGUCUCCCUGGCCGCAAGUCUGGUGACUCCUAGCCCCGGCUCUGUUUUCCCAGCUUCCCUAUCGCCAGCCCCACCCUGACUUGGUCACUACACACAGGACGGUCCCAGCCCCCUCGACAGAGCCAGGAUGUCGGGGCUCCGUCGCCUACACACCACUGCCUCCCACUGUGUCCUGGAACAGAAAUGUCCCCACCUGGUGCCUUAGUCUCCCCUUCUGCUAUGUGGCAUGGGAAAUGGGGUGUCUGAGAAACAUGUAGGGGCCCCGGCCACCGUGCCCCUGAACAGGGGGAUGGUGAGUACAGAAUCUCACCCCAAAUACCAGCAGUGGGGAGCGUCCUGCCCACGCAGGGCCCAGGCUGGGGCGGGGGGUGUGGAAGGCAAGAAAGCCGUGCUCACUCAGGGAGGGCCCAGCAUGUUGUUCCUCCCGGGUCCAGAGGCUCCUGCAGGGAGACUCUGGGGUGAGUGGGCGGGGGCUGGAGCCAAGGGGCCAGAGAGGCAGAUGUCACCAAUUUCAGUUCUGCCCCAGCUGGCCUGAGGGAGCUGGGGACUUCCCAGAGUGGGGAAGGACAAUCCGGGGGCCAAGCCGCUUGGAGCCAGGGCCGGGCUUUGAGGACCCCUUCCCUGGCCCAGCUGGGUGCUCUCUGCAGGGGAGGCAUCGGAACCCGUGGCGGGUGGGCCUCUCUCCCUGCACCCCCGUGGUAGGUCCCUCCAGUACCACCGCUCGUCAGCUCCAGCCCAAGAGCAUGGCAACAGAAGAAUUUCUUGGCCUUGUUGUCCCCGCAAAUGAAGGCUUUAAGGGUACAGCUGCCCCCGGGGCACCUGAGAAAUAUUUCCAGGAUAAAAGUGGGGGUGCCGAGUGGAUACCUCAUCCGAUGCCAAAGCACGAGGCAGAAACCACAAGAACCCCCCAAAAUGGCUCCAUCUUCUAGCUGCUUGAGCUCAACCUCCAAAGAAGGAGAGCGGGGAGUGGGUGGGCAGGCGGGCAAAGCCCCUUGCCUCUGCCCCGGCCCUCCCCUCUGGACCCAGCCAGCCGGGCGGUCAGCACCGGAGCCAGCGGGGAAAUGGGCCCCCGGGCGGGGAGAGCAUCUGACUGGACCGUGUUCUUGGGAGAUCAGUUGUGAAACUUGCUUCAAACCCCCAAACCACAAAAACGGCCGAUUUUCCCAGCCCUGUUCUCACGUUUCUCAGAUCAGCCGAGGACUCUUCAGUAUUUCCAUCCAAGAGACGCCAGGCCAGCCACCAGCCCCCCGAGGGGGACACGAAAAUGGUGCAAGGAGACUUGGGUGCCGUGGAAACCCCUCCCGCGUUCACCCAAAACACGCCGUGCUCACCAAUGCGUCUGUAAAUGUGGGGUCUGGGAGAAGGGCAAGGCGUGGGCCUGAUAAAGAAAACUGGAAAUCAGGAUAGAGGGACCCAGAAGCUGCUAGGGCUGCCUUGGAAGGAACAUUUGAGAGCACCCUUUGCAGGGGAAGACGGUAUGUGGCUGGCAGGGGGUGAGAGUCAGUAACUGGGGAAAUGCCUUCCAGUUUUAAAAAAAGGUCAAAGAGGGGUCCCCUCGUGCCUCCCCGACUCAGUGGACAGAGCACCUGUCUCUGGUUCGCCUCUUUCAGGGCCUGGUGACAACAGAAAUGCAAGCUCUCGUCAAGCGAGGACUGAUAAGGGGACCCUCAGAGAUGAGCAGAACCCGGAGCAGGGACUCACCACUUUUCUCAGCUGGGUGGUGAUGAUGGCCAAAGCCAUCUUUGAACAAGAGAAGCUGCUCGUAGGUGCUUUGGAUGACAAGCUGCCUCGGAGCUUCAAAGCCCCGUUCCUGCUGUAGGAAAUGCAGACCCCUUGGUCUGGCUUCUCCCGGCCAGAAGCCCACCCACCUCCGCCCCCAGCUGGAGACAGGCCCGGUUCCUCACCCUCACCUGCCACCGUAGCUGCCUGUUUCCAGCUGGAACCUCCCUGAGGCUGGGAGAGACACCCUGACUCACACUAACUUCAGCACUGAAUGCAAAAGCAAAACGUUGUGGGAAGAACACCGAGCUUCAACUUCGUGUGCGCUCAUCCAAUCCUUUUCCUGCGCCAUAACUUUUCUUUAAAAUGCCAUCCAAGAGGU